rnacentral:rRNA from 1 species
CCUACGGGAGGCAGCAGUGGGGAAUAUUGGACAAUGGGGGCAACCCUGAUCCAGCCAUGCCGCGUGUGUGAAGAAGGCCCUCGGGUUGUAAAGCACUUUCAGUGAGGAAGAACGCCUGGUGGUUAAUACCCAUCAGGAAAGACAUCACUCACAGAAGAAGCACCGGCUAACUCCGUGCCAGCAGCCGCGGUAAUACGGAGGGUGCGAGCGUUAAUCGGAAUUACUGGGCGUAAAGCGCGCGUAGGUGGCUUGAUAAGCCGGUUGUGAAAGCCCCCGGGCUCAACCUGGGAACGGCAUCCGGAACUGUCAAGCUAGAGUGCAGGAGAGGAAGGUAGAAUUCCCGGUGUAGCGGUGAAAUGCGUAGAGAUCGGGAGGAAUACCAGUGGCGAAGGCGGCCUUCUGGACUGACACUGACACUGAGGUGCGAAAGCGUGGGUAGCAAACAGGAUUAGAUACCCUUGUAGUC